GACGUAGGGGACGAGCGUUGUCCGGAUUUAUUGGGCGUAAAGCGCGCGUAGGCGGCCUGGUAAGUCGGAUGUGAAAACCCGGGGCUCAACCCCGGGCCUGCAUCCGAAACUGCCCGGCUAGAGGUAGGUAGGGGAGAGUCGGAAUUCCUGGUGUGAGCGGUGAAAUGCGCAGAUAUCAGGAGGAACACCGGUGGCGAAGGCGGAUCUCUGGGCCUUACCUGACGCUCAGGCGCGAAAGCUAGGGGAGCGAACAGG
rnacentral:rRNA from 1 species